CUAAAGUCAGCCAUUUUUCUUUUCACCGAGUUGACGAGGUUUCGCAGAGAUAAUCGCGUGAAUUAGUUGUACUUGAAAUUUCGUAUUUACAGUUCAAAAUCAACUUAAAGCCUUCCAUUUAGUGUUGUGGAUUUUACAAUCUAGUUUUAUAUCGUCCUAAGUGCAUAAAAAAUGGGUAGAAAGAAGAAGAAGGCCUCAAAACCAUGGUGCUGGUAUUGCAACCGCGAGUUCGAUGACGAGAAGAUUUUAGUGCAGCAUCAAAAGGCGAAGCAUUUCAAAUGUCACAUUUGCCACAAGAAACUGUACACGGGCCCGGGGCUGUCGAUCCACUGCAUGCAGGUGCACAAGGAAGCAAUCGAUAAGGUGCCUAACUCGUUGCCAAAUCGGUCGAAUAUCGAAAUCGAAAUAUUUGGAAUGGACGGGAUUCCGCCGGAGGAGCUGCGGGAACAUGAGCGACAGAAGAACGGCGGACGUUCGGAUUCGGAGGAUGAUGAGCCCGCAACCAAGAAAGCGAAACCAGAAGUUCCUGCCACACAAGCUAACAUGAUGAUGCCAAACAUGAUGGCGCCACACAUGAUGGGUCAGUUUACAUCCAUGGGUCCAAUGAUGACACCAAUGGGUCCCAUGCCGCCAUAUAUGAAUGCUGCCGGGAUGCAACUCAUGCCGCCACAUAUGAUGGGUGCUCCGCCUCGGCCUUUGUUUCCGGCAGUGUCUACUAGUACAGUACCUUCUCAGGCAAAGCCAACUUUUCCCGCUUACAGUAAUGCUACGAUAAGUGCCCCUCCUACCACAAACAAUCCUGCUGCUGCAGGUGCUGCAGCAGCUACAAGCAAUGCAACAACCGACGGACAGAAAUCGUUAAUAACUACAAGCGGAACAACAUCAAAGAUUAUGCAUCCACCUGAGGAUCUAAGCUUAGAGGAGAUCAGAGCACGAAAACCUAAAUAUCAGCGAAAGGCGAUAAUAGCCACGUCCUCAUCGUCUUCAACAAUGCCAAUGACAUCGCGUGCUCCAAUCUGUUCGCAACCAAGCAACAAUCAUAUGCUUCACACUUCAUAUGCUCCCGUCACGUCUGUAGCCACAUCAACAGCAAUUUCACAAGCACAGGAGCAUGCAGCGGCAAUGGCUGCAGUAGUCCAAGCACAAGCUCAUGCUGCUCAGGCGGCUGCUGUUCAACAACAGCAACAACAAAAACAACUUGAUGAUCUUAAUCGCGCUGUCAUGUUGCAGCGACUGCAAGCGGCCAGACCUACAGGACCGCCACUUGGAAUGGUUCCAGUGGCGUCAUCGCCUAUGUCCCUAAUGCAACCAAUGAUGCGACCUGCUAUGGCUCUCGCACCACAUGGCGCCUUGUUAGGUGGCAAUAUGCUUCGGCACGGGCCGCCCGGCAUGGGAGGAAUGCCAGCAGCAGUGAAGUGACAACCGAAAUUCGAGCUAAAACUCGAGUUUUAUUCAAAAACCAUGUCUUCUGUGUCCGCCAGGACUGCUUGCUGCACCUUUACCAGGCAUGGUUGCCCCUGGCAUGGGGGUCAUGAUACCAGGACCGCAUAUGCCAAUGAUGAUGCCGCCUCGAUUUCGGUGAUCUCCCCCUCAGGGGCCACUCUGUUUGGCUCCCGUUCUGAAUUUACAGAUGCCAAUAAUAUAUCCCUGAAAGCGACCCCCCGUGUUGCCGCCAUCAUUGGCGUCGCGACUACUGACCCCAUCCGUGCGGACGUCGUCACCAUUUUCUCCAAACUGAUCGAUACCAACAGCAAUGACAACGGCAAACACAUCAUCAUAAUGAUCCCGACAAAUGAGAUUCAUAAAGAAAAUAAAGCAAGUGAAAUGUUUUUUUCUUUACAUUUUAUUAUUUUUAUUAUCAUUUCAUAAGUUAAGUUUGAAAAUUUCUAGAGAGGAAUUUAAUUUCUUUAGCUAUUUUUUCUUUAAAAACUAUUAUAGUAUUUAAAUGUAAGAUUUUUUCCUUCUUUCUAAAGAAAGAAGAGUUACUGGAAUGAUCCCAUAAAACUUAGUGUCGAUAAAAAAGCUUUUCAGAUUUAUAUAUUUAAGUGGAACAAUUAACCAACCGUAAAUCAAAUGCUUUCAUAACAUUUCCUAAAUGUUUAACCAUUUGAAAAUUGAGCAGUCGAAAAAAUGUUGCGGUCGAGAAGAAACAACAACUAUCGAGAAACUUUGAGUAUCUUAUGAAUCCGAUUUCUUCUCCCUUGUUUUCCUUACAUUUGCAUCCAUUGCUAAAAUGCAUUACUUCAGUUUUCAAAGGCAUGUGACAUAGGAACGCGUUUCCAUUUGUGAAUGAGCUCAUUCGACAAUUCUAUCCCAAAUGGAUUGAGAUACACAUAAUAAAUUGAAUUUACAAAAAAAGAUAUGCUUGCAUCAACUUCGGUGAUUUCAAUAUCGAAACAGAAGCAAAUGUUUCAUUGAAUUUCUGGUCAGUGCAUGAUUUUUGUCCCCCAAACGAAUUUCCAUCUAAAGUUGGUUGUUCCUUUUUGGCAAUGGGUGUAUAACUUUUACACAAAACCGCAAUGCGUAUUAACUCAUAUUUUUUUUUUUUUUCAAUAACAUAUUUUAACAGGUCACAGACGCGCGCCCACUGUGUUAAUAGAACUGAGGGCGUAGUAAAGAAAAUGAAAACAUUUAGAAAAAUAGAGAAAAUAUCCUCUACUUCUACCACUACUACACGUCUGUUAAUAUCGUACCUGGUAUGUUAAAAACAAUCAUAUUUACAUAUAAUAUUAUAUCUAGACUAUUAUUGUACCUCUACCUAUCGCUCUAUCCAAACUUUCUGUUUUUUUUUCAAGAGCCAGCCAAUGUGUAUGUACGUAUUAUAUAUUUUUAUCAUUUGUGCUGAUAGUUUUCCAUCGUUUCCUACUACUCGUAAUUUUUUUUUCUUUGAAAAGAUUCACGUGUACUCUACCAAAAAAUUCAUUUGAAGCAAUUUCUCUGCUUCGUCACAACCCGGAUCUGCUUCCCCCCGCCAUUUAUUUCUUUUCCUCGUCCAAAUUUG